CGUGGCGAGCAUACAGGAUUAGAUACCCCGGUAGUGCACGCUGUAAAAGAUGAGUUUCUUUCUGAUAGGGGCUCCACCUACCCGGGGCGAGGAAAUUACACUUUAAUCAUUCUGCCUGGGGUGUACCCUCGCAAGAGUGACACUCAAAGGAGGCACGGGGAUCCACACCAGCAGUGGAGUAUGUGCGUUUAAUUCGAAGCAACGCGAAGAACCUUAGCAGGUGUUGACAUCCUUCGGAUCGUCGCGGAGAUGGGGCUUUCCUUGGGGACGGAGGAGACAGGUGGUGCAUGGUUGUCGUCAGCUGGUGUUGUGAGAUGUUGGGUUAACUCCCGCAAGGAGCGCAACCCUUGAUUUAGUUUCCAGCACUUGGGGUGGGCACUCUAAGGUGACUGCCGGUGACAAACCGGAGGAAGGUGGGGAUGACGUCAAAUUAUCAUGCCCCUUUUGACCUGGGCUACACACGUACUACAAUGGCCGGUACAACGGGCUGUGAAGCCGCGAGGUGGAACGAAUCCUAAAAAGCCGGUCUCAGUUCGGAUUGCAGGCUGCAACUCGCCUGCAUGAAGUCGGAAUUGCUAGUAAUCGCGGAUCAGCAUGCCGCGGUGAAUACGUUCCCGGGUCUUGUACACACCGCCCGUCACACCACGAGAGUUUAUAACACCCGAAGUCGGUGGGGUAACCGCAAGGAGCCCAGCCGCCGAAGGUGGGAAUAGUGA
rnacentral:rRNA from 1 species